rnacentral:rRNA from 1 species
UACGGAGGGGGCGAGCGUUAUUCGGAAUUAUUGGGCGUAAAGGGCGCGUAGGCGGCUUUAUGUGUCAAAGGUGAAAUCCCUCGGCUCAACUGAGGAACUGCCUUUGAAACUGUCUGGCUUGAGGCCGGGAGAGGGUAGCGGAAUUCCCAGUGUAGCGGUGAAAUGCGUAGAUACUGGGAGGAACACCGGUGGCGAAGGCGGCUACCUGGACCGGUUCUGACGCUGAUGCGCGAAAGCGUGGGUAGCAAACAGG